GAAAAGGCAGGUCAGAGUGUUGUUUGAAGAAUCAUCGAUGAAUUUUUUCUUUUCGUUCUUCCUCUCUUUCUUUUCUUUCUUUCUUU
rnacentral:ribozyme from 11 species